AACGCUGGCGGCGUGCCUAAUACAUGCAAGUCGAACGAACUCUGGUAUUGAUUGGUGCUUGCAUCAUGAUUUACAUUUGAGUGAGUGGCGAACUGGUGAGUAACACGUGGGAAACCUGCCCAGAAGCGGGGGAUAACACCUGGAAACAGAUGCUAAUACCGCAUAACAACUUGGACCGCAUGGUCCGAGUUUGAAAGAUGGCUUCGGCUAUCACUUUUGGAUGGUCCCGCGGCGUAUUAGCUAGAUGGUGAGGUAACGGCUCACCAUGGCAAUGAUACGUAGCCGACCUGAGAGGGUAAUCGGCCACAUUGGGACUGAGACACGGCCCAAACUCCUACGGGAGGCAGCAGUAGGGAAUCUUCCACAAUGGACGAAAGUCUGAUGGAGCAACGCCGCGUGAGUGAAGAAGGGUUUCGGCUCGUAAAACUCUGUUGUUAAAGAAGAACAUAUCUGAGAGUAACUGUUCAGGUAUUGACGGUAUUUAACCAGAAAGCCACGGCUAACUACGUGCCAGCAGCCGCGGUAAUACGUAGGUGGCAAGCGUUGUCCGGAUUUAUUGGGCGUAAAGCGAGCGCAGGCGGUUUUUUAAGUCUGAUGUGAAAGCCUUCGGCUCAACCGAAGAAGUGCAUCGGAAACUGGGAAACUUGAGUGCAGAAGAGGACAGUGGAACUCCAUGUGUAGCGGUGAAAUGCGUAGAUAUAUGGAAGAACACCAGUGGCGAAGGCGGCUGUCUGGUCUGUAACUGACGCUGAGGCUCGAAAGUAUGGGUAGCAAACAGGAUUAGAUACCCUGGUAGUCCAUACCGUAAACGAUGAAUGCUAAGUGUUGGAGGGUUUCCGCCCUUCAGUGCUGCAGCUAACGCAUUAAGCAUUCCGCCUGGGGAGUACGGCCGCAAGGCUGAAACUCAAAGGAAUUGACGGGGGCCCGCACAAGCGGUGGAGCAUGUGGUUUAAUUCGAAGCUACGCGAAGAACCUUACCAGGUCUUGACAUACUAUGCAAAUCUAAGAGAUUAGACGUUCCCUUMGGGGACAUGGAUACAGGUGGUGCAUGGUUGUCGUCAGCUCGUGUCGUGAGAUGUUGGGUUAAGUCCCGCAACGAGCGCAACCCUUAUUAUCAGUUGCCAGCAUUAAGUUGGGCACUCUGGUGAGACUGCCGGUGACAAACCGGAGGAAGGUGGGGAUGACGUCAAAUCAUCAUGCCCCUUAUGACCUGGGCUACACACGUGCUACAAUGGAUGGUACAACGAGUUGCGAACUCGCGAGAGUAAGCUAAUCUCUUAAAGCCAUUCUCAGUUCGGAUUGUAGGCUGCAACUCGCCUACAUGAAGUCGGAAUCGCUAGUAAUCGCGGAUCAGCAUGCCGCGGUGAAUACGUUCCCGGGCCUUGUACACACCGCCCGUCACACCAUGAGAGUUUGUAACACCCAAAGUCGGUGGGGUAACCUUUUAGGAACCAGCCGCCUAAGGUGGGACAGAGAUUAGGGG
rnacentral:rRNA from 1 species